GGGCGGUUAGAUCAGGGGGAGAUCGCUUCGUUGACACCGAAGAGGCCAUUGGUUCAAAUCCAAUACCGCCCACCA
rnacentral:tRNA from 2 species